rnacentral:rRNA from 1 species
UACGGAGGGUGCAAGCGUUAAUCGGAAUGACUGGGCGUAAAGGGCACGCAGGCGGUCUGUCAAGUCGGAUGUGAAAUCCCCGGGCUUAACCCGGGAACGGCAUUCGAAACUGGCAGGCUGGAGUCUCGUAGAGGGGGGUAGAAUUCCAGGUGUAGCGGUGAAAUGCGUAGAGAUCUGGAGGAAUACCGGUGGCGAAGGCGGCCCCCUGGACGAAGACUGACGCUCAGGUGCGAAAGCGUGGGGAGCAAACAGG